rnacentral:rRNA from 1 species
AUUGAACGCUGGCGGCAGGCUUAACACAUGCAAGUCGAACGAGUGGCGGACGGGUGAGUAAUGCUUGGGAAUCUGGCUUAUGGAGGGGGAUAACGACUGGAAACUGUCGCUAAUACCGCCUACCAUCGGAUGAACCCAUGUGGGAUUAGGUAGUUGGUGUGGUAAUGGCUUACCAAGCAGACGAUCUCUAGCUGGUCUGAGAGGAUGACCAGCCACACUGGGACUGGGAAACGGCCCAGACUCCUACGGGAGGCAGCAGUGGGGAAUAUUGCGCAAUGGGGGCAACCUGACGCAGCCAUGCCGAGUGAAUGAAGAAGGCCUUCGGGUUGUAAAGUUCUUUCGGUGAGGAGGCGUUAAUCACAGAAGAAGCACCGGCUAACUCCGUGCCAGCAGCCGCGGUAAUUC